GACGAACGCUGGCGGCGUGCUUAACACAUGCAAGUCGAACGGAAAGGCCCUGCUUGCAGGGUACUCGAGUAGCGAACGGGUGAGUAACACGUGGGUGAUCUGCCCUGCACUUCGGGAUAAGCCUGGGAAACUGGGUCUAAUACCGGAUAGGAGCCAUUUUUAGUGUGAUGGUUGGAAAGUUUUUUCGGUGUAGGAUGAGCUCGCGGCCUAUCAGCUUGUUGGUGGGGUAAUGGCCUACCAAGGCGGCGACGGGUAGCCGGCCUGAGAGGGUGGACGGCCACAUUGGGACUUGGAUACGGCCCAGACUCCUACGGGAGGCAGCAGUGGGGAAUAUUGCACAAUGGGCGCAAGCCUGGUGCAGCGACGCCGCGUGGGGGAUGACGGCCUUCGGGUUGUAAACUCCUUUCGCUAGGGACGAAGCUUUUUGUGACGGUACCUAGAUAAGAAGCACCGGCUAACUACGUG
rnacentral:rRNA from 1 species